rnacentral:rRNA from 1 species
AUGCCUGAGCUGGGCUGCACCCCCAACGUGGUGGCAUAUACCACGGUCAUCCACGGCUUCUUUAAGGAAGGCCAAGUAGGCAAGGCAUGCAAUCUGUUCCAUGGAAUGGCGCAGCAGGGCGUUGCGCCUAAUUUGGUGACAUAUAACUCGGUUAUUGAUGCGUUGUGCAAGGCCAAAGCAAUGGACAAGGCAGAGUAUUUCCUUGGUCAGAUGGUUGAUGAUGGUGUCGUACCUGAUAAUGUGACAUAUAAUAGCCUCAUCCAUGGAUAUUCCUCUUCAGGCCACUGGAAGGAGGCAGUUAGGGUAUUCAAAGAGAUGACAAGUCGGAGGGUUACAGCAGAUGUGCAUACUUACAACAUGUUUAUGACCUUUCUUUGCAAACAUGGAAGAAGCAAAGAAGCUGCAGGAAUUUUUGAUACCAUGGCUAUGAAGGGCCUGAAACCUGACAACGUUUCAUAUGCUAUUCUCCUUCAUGGGUAUGCCACCGAAGGAUGCUUAGUUGAUAUGAUUAAUCUCUUCAAUUCAAUGGAAAGAGAUUGUAUUCUACCUGACUGUCGUAUCUUCAACAUACUGAUUAAUGCAUAUGCUAAAUCUGGGAAGCUUGAUAAGGCUAUGCUUAUCUUCAAUGAAAUGCAGAAACAAGGAGUGAGUCCAAAUGCAGUCACAUAUUCAACUGUAAUAGAUGCAUUUUGCAAAAAGGGUCAGUUGGACGAUGCUAUGAUAAAGUUUAAUCAGAUGAUUGAUACAGGAGUACGACAGGGCACAGCUGUUUAUGGUUCUCUAAUCCAGGGUUUUUGUACACACGGCGAUUUGGUGAAAGCAAAGGAAUUGCUUACUGAAAUGAUGAACAAAGGUAUGCUUCCUCCUGAUAUCAAGUUCUUCCAUUCAAUCAUGCAGAACCUUUGCACAGAAGGAAGGGUAAUAGAAGCACGGGAUGUCCUUGGCUUGAUAGCGCACAUAGGUAUGAGGCCUGAUGUUUGCACAUUUAAUAUACUGAUCGGUGGAUACUGCCUAGUCGGCAAGAUGGAGGAUGCCUCAAAAAUAUUUGAUGAUAUGAUGUCAUAUGGCUUAGAACCUUCUAAUAUUACGUAUGGUAUACUUAUUAAUGGCUAUUGCAAAAAUAGAAGGAUUGAUGACGGGCUUAUUCUGUUCAAAGAGAUGCUGCACAAGGGACUUAAACCUACAACUUUUAAUUAUAACAUCAUACUGGAUGGGUUACUUCUGGCUGGACGAACUGUUGCUGCAAAGGAAAAGUUUAAUGAGAUGGUUGAAUCUGGAGUAAGUGUGUGCACUGAUACAUAUUCAAUAGUUCUUGGUGGACUUCGCAGAAAUAAUUGCUUUAGCGAAGCAAUCAUGCUGUUCCAGAAAUUAAGGGCAAUGAACAUGAAAUUCAAUAUUAGAAUUGUCAAUAUCAUGAUUGAUGCCUUCUUUAGGGUUCAGAGAAAGCAAGAAGCUAAAGAUUUGUUUGCCGCAAUACCAGCCAAUGGCUUGGUAGCUAAUGUUGUUACCUACAGCAUAACGAUGACAAAUCUUAUAAAAGAAGGUUCAGUGGAAGAAGCUGACGAUCUCUUUUUAUCAAUGGAGAAGAGCGGCUGUACUGCUGACUCUUAUAUGUUAAAUCUUAUCGUCAGAAUGUUACUGGAAAAAGGAGAGCUAGUCAAGGCUGGGAAUUAUAUGUCUAAAGUUGAUGCAAUGAGCUACUCACUUGAAGCUGAAACCGUUUCGCUGCUUAUCUCUCUCUUUUCAGGGAAAGGGAAAUAUAGAGAACACAUAGGAUUGCUCCCUGCAAAGUAUCGGUUUCGUGAAGAAGCAGCCACAGUUGUGUAG